rnacentral:rRNA from 1 species
UUAAAUUGAAGAGUUUGAUCAUGGCUCAGAUUGAACGCUGGCGGCAGGCCUAACACAUGCAAGUCGAGCGGUAGCACAGAGAGCUUGCUCUCGGGUGACGAGCGGCGGACGGGUGAGUAAUGUCUGGGAAACUGCCUGAUGGAGGGG